rnacentral:rRNA from 1 species
GACGAACCGUGCGAACGUUGUUCGGAAUCACUGGGCUUAAAGGGCGCGUAGGCGGGCUACCAAGUCGGGGUUGAAAUCUUUCGGCUUAACCGGAAAAGUGGCUUCGAUACUGGUAGACUGGAGGGAGGCAGGGGCGGAUGGAACUUCCGGUGGAGCGGUGAAAUGUGUUGAUAUCGGAAGGAACGCCAGUGGCGAAAGCGAUCCGCUGGACCUCUACUGACGCUGAGGCGCGAAAGCCAGGGGAGCAAACGGG